rnacentral:rRNA from 1 species
GAUGAACGCUGGCGGCGUGCCUAAUACAUGCAAGUCGAGCGAACAGAUGAGGAGCUUGCUCCUCUGACGUUAGCGGCGGACGGGUGAGUAACACGUGGAUAACCUACCUAUAAGACUGGGAUAACUUCGGGAAACCGGAGCUAAUACCGGAUAAUAUAUUGAACCGCAUGGUUCAAUAGUGAAAGACGGUUGUGCUGUCACUUAUAGAUGGAUCCGCGCCGCAUUAGCUAGUUGGUAGGGUAACGGCUUACCAAGGCAACGAUGCGUAGCCGACCUGAGAGGGUGAUCGGCCACACUGGAACUGAGACACGGUCCAGACUCCUACGGGAGGCAGCAGUAGGGAAUCUUCCGCAAUGGGCGAAAGCCUGACGGAGCAACGCCGCGUGAGUGAUGAAGGUCUUCGGAUCGUAAAACUCUGUUAUUAGGGAAGAACAAAUGUGUAAGUAACUAUGCACGUCUUGACGGUACCUAAUCAGAAAGCCACGGCUAACUACGUG